AGGUGGGCGUGGGUGACACGGG
rnacentral:misc_RNA from 1 species